GGACGGACGCUGGCGGCGUGCUUAACACAUGCAAGUCGAACGGAAAGGCCCCAGCUUGCUGGGGUACUCGAGUGGCGAACGGGUGAGUAACACGUGGGUGAUCUGCCCUGCACUCUGGGAUAAGCCUGGGAAACUGGGUCUAAUACCGGAUAGGACCGUGCUUUAGUGUGUGCGGUGGAAAGUUUUUCGGUGCAGGAUGAGCCCGCGGCCUAUCAGCUUGUUGGUGGGGUAAUGGCCUACCAAGGCGGCGACGGGUAGCCGGCCUGAGAGGGUGUACGGCCACAUUGGGACUGAGACACGGCCCAGACUCCUACGGGAGGCAGCAGUGGGGAAUAUUGCACAAUGGGCGCAAGCCUGAUGCAGCGACGCCGCGUGGGGGAUGACGGCCUUCGGGUUGUAAACCCCUUUCGGCAGGGACGAAGCUUUCGUGACGGUACCUGCAUAAGAAGCACCGGCUAACUACGUG
rnacentral:rRNA from 1 species